CACACAGCGUUCAUUUAUUUAAUGCAGCGUUUAUUGCCUCCACUCCAGCGCUGCUCCCCCCCCUCUGUGCUGUGACCCCAUAGAUUGGGGUGCUGUGCCCUAUAGAUUGGGGUUCUGACCCCCUGUAUAGGGGUGCUGUGUCCCCAUACGUCGGGGUGUUGUGGCCCCAUAUAGUGGGGUGCUGUGACCUCAUAUAUUGGGGUGCUGUGACCCCAAAUAUUGGGGUGCUGUGCCCUAUAGAUUGGGGUGAUCUCCUCCCCUGUAUGGGGGUGCUGUGUCCCCAUAUAUGGGGGUGCUGUGCCUAUAGAUUGGGGUGCUGUGCCCUAUAGACUGGGGCUCUGUCCCUCCCUGUAUAUUGAGGCGCUGUGUCCCCCACUAUUGGGGUGCUGUGUCCCCAUAAAUUGGGGUGCUGUGUCCCCAUACAUCGGGGUGCUGUGUCCCCAUAUAUUGGGGUGCUGUGCCCUAUAGAUU
rnacentral:lncRNA from 7 species